rnacentral:tRNA from 1 species
GGGCCAUUAGCUCAAUUGGCUAGAGCAGGCGACUCUUAAUCGUCAGGUUCGGGGUUCGAGUCCCUGAUGGCCCA